UGCCAGACUCCUACGGGAGGCAGCAGUGGGGAAUAUUGCACAAUGGGGGAAACCCUGAUGCAGCGACGCCGCGUGAAGGAAGAAGUAUUUCGGUAUGUAAACUUCUAUCAGCAGGGAAGAAAAUGACGGUACCUGACUAAGAAGCCCCGGCUAACUACGUGCCAGCAGCCGCGGUAAUACGUAGGGGGCAAGCGUUAUCCGGAUUUACUGGGUGUAAAGGGAGCGUAGACGGCGAUGCAAGCCAGAUGUGAAAGCCCGGGGCUCAACCCCGGGACUGCAUUUGGAACUGUGUGGCUGGAGUGUCGGAGAGGCAGGCGGAAUUCCUAGUGUAGCGGUGAAAUGCGUAGAUAUUAGGAGGAACACCAGUGGCGAAGGCGGCCUGCUGGACGAUGACUGACGUUGAGGCUCGAAAGCGUGGGGAGCAAACAGGAUUAGAUACCCCAGUA
rnacentral:rRNA from 1 species